AUCACUUCAGGUUGAAAAUCCAGCCAGGGAGAAGGAGACGAACCAACAGCAGGGCCCUCGGCGGAAAGAGCCUACAUUUGAAAAUCCGAGUUGGCAACUCAGGAAAGAGGGGCUAUACAGAGCGGCAAUUGGCCAGAGAAGAGCAGUUCACGAGGAGACUUUGUGGGGGAGGUGCUGCCGGUCGUCUCUUUGACCAGAAGGCCGGUGUUCUUGAAAUAUAUGAUGAUGGAUCCAAUUGGCUGUUACUGUUGUGUUAAAGACCAGUUUGCUGCAUCAGUGGUCGUCAGCGUGGGUAGUGCAGCACCACCGUAUUUAUUGAGGAUGAUGACUUGAAGAUGGAGGAUCCACUCAGGAGUUUUCACCUGGUGAAAUGACCCUUACUGCACUGCACUGCACCAGAAACACCAGUCCAGAUGUUAUUCUGAACAUUGUGGUGGCUGCCUCUGUGCUGGCCGCUGCCCCUGUGCUGGCCUCUGCCCUUGGACUGCCCCUGUGCUGUCCGCUGCCCCUGGACUGCCCCUGUGCUGUCCGCUGCCCCUGGACUGACCCUGUGCUGGCUGCUGCCCUUGGACUGACCCUGGACUGGCCUCUGCCCUGUGCUGAAGAAAAUUUUUUAAUAUCAUUAAGUCUACUUUAAUAAAUGUCUAAAUGUCA
rnacentral:lncRNA from 1 species